UAGUGCGGUAGAGGAGCGGAAUGAAUGAGUCGCGUUUGUUGGGGUGAUGCCAAUGAGCAAACGUAAAAGGUCUUAUCCGCCGAAGUGAGCUGAUACAUCAACAUCUCUCGCUGGGGUUGUACUCGAAUAGGGACAACACUGCCAUAGUCUAUUAUUUGUAUAACUAUGGAGCGCUACUGUAGGC
rnacentral:ncRNA from 2 species